rnacentral:rRNA from 1 species
GUUUGAUCAUGGCUCAGAUUGAACGCUGGCGGCAGGCCUAACACAUGCAAGUCGAACGGUAACAGGAAGAAGCUUGCUUCUUUGCUGACGAGUGGCGGACGGGUGAGUAAUGUCUGGGAAACUGCCUGAUGGAGGGGGAUAACUACUGGAAACGGUAGCUAAUACCGCAUAACGUCGCAAGACCAAAGAGGGGGACCUUCGGGCCUCUUGCCAUCGGAUGUGCCCAGAUGGGAUUAGCUAGUAGGUGGGGUAACGGCUCACCUAGGCGACGAUCCCUAGCUGGUCUGAGAGGAUGACCAGCCACACUGGAACUGAGACACGGUCCAGACUCCUACGGGAGGCAGCAGUGGGGAAUAUUGCACAAUGGGCGCAAGCCUGAUGCAGCCAUGCCGCGUGUAUGAAGAAGGCCUUCGGGUUGUAAAGUACUUUCAGCGGGGAGGAAGGGAGUAAAGUUAAUACCUUUGCUCAUUGACGUUACCCGCAGAAGAAGCACCGGCUAACUCCGUGCCAGCAGCCGCGGUAAUACGGAGGGUGCAAGCGUUAAUCGGAAUUACUGGGCGUAAAGCGCACGCAGGCGGUUUGUUAAGUCAGAUGUGAAAUCCCCGGGCUCAACCUGGGAACUGCAUCUGAUACUGGCAAGCUUGAGUCUCGUAGAGGGGGGUAGAAUUCCAGGUGUAGCGGUGAAAUGCGUAGAGAUCUGGAGGAAUACCGGUGGCGAAGGCGGCCCCCUGGACGAAGACUGACGCUCAGGUGCGAAAGCGUGGGGAGCAAAACAGGAUUAGAUACCCCGGUAGUCCACGCCGUAAACGAUGUCGACUUGGAGGUUGUGCCCUUGAGGCGUGGCUUCCGGAGCUAACGCGUUAAGUCGACCGCCUGGGGAGUACGGCCGCAAGGUUAAAACUCAAAUGAAUUGACGGGGGCCCGCACAAGCGGUGGAGCAUGUGGUUUAAUUCGAUACAACGCGAAGAACCUUACCUGGUCUUGACAUCCACGGAAGUUUUCAGAGAUGAGAAUGUGCCUUCGGGAACCGUGAGACAGGUGCUGCAUGGCUGUCGUCAGCUCGUGUUGUGAAAUGUUGGGUUAAGUCCCGCAACGAGCGCAACCCUUAUCCUUUGUUGCCAGCGGUCCGGCCGGGAACUCAAAGGAGACUGCCAGUGAUAAACUGGAGGAAGGUGGGGAUGACGUCAGGUCAUCAUGGCCCUUACGACCAGGGCUACACACGUGCUACAAUGGCGCAUACAAAGAGAAGCGACCUCGCGAGAGCAAGCGGACCUCAUAAAGUGCGUCGUAGUCCGGAUUGGAGUCUGCAACUCGACUCCAUGAAGUCGGAAUCGCUAGUAAUCGUGGAUCAGAAUGCCACGGUGAAUACGUUCCCGGGCCUUGUACACACCGCCCGUCACACCAUGGGAGUGGGUUGCAAAAGAAGUAAGUAGCUUAACCUUCGGGAGGGCGCUUACCACUUUGUGAUUCAUGACUGGGGUGAAGUCGUAACAAGGUA